AGUUGCUCCAAGUUGUGUUUGGUUUCUCAUCAAAUUUCGAAAAUUGUGCUUAAAAUGCAAAAAAAUAAUUUAACUAUUGGUGCUUUUUCGGUGCCAUUUGCUCGAGGAUUUGCUGAGAAAGACGGUCAAAUAAUUCCUAGAUUGGUGUCUCUUAAGCGAUUGCAAGUGAUUCUCUCUCAAUCUGAUCAGUUCAAUCUGAAAUUCAUUCUACCCGAGGAAGGACAAUUGGGAGUGCUAACAGAAACUGGUUAUCAUGAUGGAGUUUUGGGUUUAUUACAA